UACGAAGGGGGCUAGCGUUGUUCGGAUUUACUGGGCGCAAAGCGCACGUAGGCGGAUCGUUAAGUCGGGGGUGAAAUCCUGGAGCUCAACUCCAGAACUGCCUUCGAUACUGGCGAUCUCGAGUCCGGAAGAGGUGAGUGGAACUCCUAGUGUAGAGGUGGAAUUCGUAGAUAUUAGGAAGAACACCAGUGGCGAAGGCGACUCACUGGUCCGGUACUGACGCUGAGGUGCGAAAGCGUGGGGAGCAAACAGG
rnacentral:rRNA from 1 species